rnacentral:lncRNA from 1 species
GCAAAAUGAGCUAUAAUCUCACUGAUGAUUAAAUGAAUUUUGCAGACUACUAGAGUUAGUUCAUAUCACAUAUUGUCUGUUGGUAUGAGUUAUAUUUCUUUGUUUCAAGCUGUGAUUUGAGUGAAGAUAGGAUGUGGAUAUAUAGAAGGGGUUCAUUUCUCUCUUUGCGCAUGUGUUGAUUGUAAUAAGGAAAAAGGCAUUGCUUAUUUUUGCAGAUAGAUUCUAGUUGCUAUGGAGUCUUAUUGGAACAUUGAAAUGUGGCUUUUCUUGUUCAGUUUCAGAGGGUUUCAAUGUCAAAUGAAUGUCUGUUAUGCCCCUUGCUUCUUGGAUUAGUAUUCUACAGUCUUGUUCUUCUAUUAACUUUCCCAGCUUCUACUAUCUGAGCUCCAGCCUCUUAACCCUUGAGAGCACCAAAUCAAGGAAUUGAACGCAGAAUCACAAGUGCAUUUUGAAAUCUGAAAAAAUGAAUUUUAGUUCAGUUUUACUUGGCCAAUUCUCAUAAUUGGAAGAAAGCUCAAACCUGCUGCAACUUUAAUUUACAUACUAUUUUACUUGUAAAGAUUUGGUAGAGGUGACCAGUCAAAGCACAAUCGACAUAUGCUUAUGGCCUUUGACAAAGCACGGUGGACAGUGGCUUUUGAUUUGAUCUCUACCUUUAACCUUUUGUGAAUUCCAACAAGAGGAGAGUUUUCUUCCAUCACUUGGACGGCCUGACUCUGCUGCUUCGCUUUUGGCUUUAGGCUUUUGGCUUUUGAGAACUCCAACAACGAGGGAUAAUUACUGACACUGACUUUACUUAAAUGGCGUAAAUACCCCUAGACAACAUUUUUUUCAUAAAGACGUGAACUGCCAUUGAUGCAUUCUAUGACUUGACCAUGAAACCCUCAUUUUCUACCUCUGAAGUACUUUUCAGGACACAGUAAACCAUUACCAAGUAGUUUACGCUUUGCCAGCAAGGGGCAGAAAUGUGCACCAAAGGAAGCAGUUUAGCAUUUUCAAUAUGCCUUUUUCUUUUUUGGACAUUGUCGCCUAGUUAGCUUACUCCCACAGAAGCUUAGUGUUUAUAGGGGAAGGAGGUUUAACAUUACCAUAACCAACUUACCUACCCAGUUAGGAUUUGAACCUGGGAUGUUUAGGGCAAUACUCUUUGCCACUAGGGCAAGGGAUCAUUUGCAUGUGCCAUUUGCUUGAUUAAGUAAGCAAUUUAGAUCAAAUGGA